GAAAAAUACCACCAAUCACAAAGAAAUAGAGUCUUAGUUUUUGUCUUGUACAAGAAAGAAGCUGCUCGUGUAGAGAAUAUGCUUCAAAGAAGAGGCUGGAAGGCCGUCUCGGUGCAUGGCGACAAAUCUCAAAAAGAUCGAACUAAUGCUCUGUAUCUCUUUAAGGAGGCCAAGUGUCCUUUAAUGAUCGCCACCGAUGUUGCUUCUCGUGGCUUGGAUAUUCCUGAUGUUGAAGUGGUAAUCAAUUAUAGCUUCCCUCUCACCACAGAGGAUUAUGUCCAUAGAAUAGGGAGGACAGGUCGUGCUGGUAAGAAGGGAAUCGCCCACACCUUUUUCAUGCAGGAAAAUAAGGGACUUGCUGGAGAACUCGUGAAUGUCUUACGGGAAGCUGGGCAAGUUGUUCCUUCUGAUCUGUUGAAAUUCGGCACCCAUGUGAAGAAAAAGG
rnacentral:misc_RNA from 1 species